GAUGAACGCUGGCGGCGUGCCUAAUACAUGCAAGUCGAGCGAACGGACGAGAAGCUUGCUUUUCUGAUGUUAGCGGCGGACGGGUGAGUAACACGUGGAUAACCUACCUAUAAGACUGGGAUAACUUCGGGAAACCGGAGCUAAUACCAGAUAAUAUUUUGAACCGCAUGGUUCAAAAGUGAAAGACGGUCUUGCUGUCACUUAUAGAUGGAUCCGCGCUGCAUUAGCUAGUUGGUAAGGUAACGGCUCACCAAGGCAACGAUGCAUAGCCGACCUGAGAGGGUGAUCGGCCACACUGGAACUGAGACACGGUCCAGACUCCUACGGGAGGCAGCAGUAGGGAAUCUUCCGCAAUGGGCGAAAGCCUGACGGAGCAACGCCGCGUGAGUGAUGAAGGUCUUCGGAUCGUAAAACUCUGUUAUUAGGGAAGAACAUAUGUGUAAGUAACUGUGCACAUCUUGACGGUACCUAAUCAGAAAGCCACGGCUAACUACGUG
rnacentral:rRNA from 1 species